GAAAUUAUCGUCCUCCGCGGCCAGCAGGGCAUGGAUGAAGUCCGGGGGAAUGUCCGCGUAGCGGAUGGGAGUCCGGCGCAUCUCGCCGAAUUCCGCGAUCAGCUUGGCAUCGCUGCUGUAUAUCCGCAGAGGGAUCUGCAACUGGAUGGUGCGCAACGAUUCGACCGACGGAAGGCCGGGCCCCAGGUAAAGGAAGGCUCCGCUCAGGCCGAGCAGCAGGCUGCUGAAGAUGGCGAUGAGGGUCCAGCCGAAGAAUUUAAGCAAACGCAUCGAGGCCGCGGGGUUUCCAGAUGA
rfam:Azotobacter vinelandii DJ, complete genome.